rnacentral:lncRNA from 1 species
GUCGUUACUGAACCACAUGUCAUGGAAUGAAACAGACACAUCCCACUUCUUUUUUCUCUUUUGUAAGUCAGCAUUUGGACUUGUAUUUUUCGUAAAACUACAACAAAGGGACUGUGUAAAGGGAGGUAGUUGAUCAUUAACAUCAGGGGCAAACUUGAUUUUCAACCCAGGAUAACCUUUUUUUGCUCAAUAAUUAACAGGCCAACUGUUACUUAUCUGCUUCUUUGUUCUCCUUACUUUUCUUGGCUCAGUUCUGAUUGAAUUUGAGCUUGUUGUUGAUGGUGUGAUGGAAAAAGAUGAUGAUGCUUGUGAAGUUAUCAUGAGGGUGAUGAUCUAACUCUACUUGCUACGUCCUUAAUUUUCUCCACUUGUUAUCUUUGAUUUUUCUUUCUUAAAGAACUUGUUUGCUGUGUGUUUGCAUCAAUCAAGAUGAUGAAUCAAGAAAAUCUUAGGACACUUCUGACACAGUACGAGAGGUUGCUGUGUGUGAGAAGGAUUCCCGAUUCUGAUAUGAUUGAUCGAUGAAUGAUUGUUAAUCAAUAUAUAAUAUAAUAGAUAGAUGUAUAGAAUAUAGAUUCAAGAUUUUGUGUUUAAAAGAAUCUGUUUUUAUUAUUAUUAUUAUUAUUAUUAUUAUUAUUAUUAUUUUGGUUUGAUUUCAUCUGGUGAAACUUAAGUUACAUACUUCCCAACAGAGCCCCAAUACUGCAGCUAAUGAAGAUGGAGUGCCUUGGAAUCAUG